rnacentral:rRNA from 1 species
UGGGGAAUAUUGGACAAUGGGGGCAACCCUGAUCCAGCAAUGCCGCGUGUGUGAAGAAGGUCUUCGGAUUGUAAAGCACUUUCGACGGGGACGAUGAUGACGGUACCCGUAGAAGAAGCCCCGGCUAACUUCGUGCCAGCAGCCGCGGUAAUACGAAGGGGGCUAGCGUUGCUCGGAAUGACUGGGCGUAAAGGGCGUGUAGGCGGUUUACACAGUCAGAUGUGAAAUCCCCGGGCUUAACCUGGGAGCUGCAUUUGAUACGUGUAGACUAGAGUGUGAGAGAGGGUUGUGGAAUUCCCAGUGUAGGGGUGAAAUUCGUAGAUAUUGGGAAGAACACCGGUGGCGAAGGCGGCAACCUGGCUCAUGACUGACGCUGAGGCGCGAAAGCGUGGGGAGCAAACAGGAUUAGAUACCCGUGGUAGUCCACGCUGUAAACGAUGUGUGCUAGAUGUGGGUAACUUUGUUAUUCAGUGUCGNNAUGUU